UUGCUGUGGGAGGCAGCACACACACUAAAGCUGGAACGAUGCAGACAAGAUUAGCAUGGCCCCUGCGCAAGGAUGACAUGCAAAUGCGUGAGGCGUUCUGUAUUUUU